GUUUCUACGUACCACUCGGAUUGCAACUUGGAUUUCUACAGACUAAGAUUAACAUAAAUCCCUGCUCUAUUCUAAACUGCCAGCCCACUGCAUGCAAACGUGGGACCCCAGUCACCAGAGGUAUCUACGUACCACACGGAUUGUAACUUGGAUUUCUACAGACUAAGAGUCGACCUCAGGGAACUCAAGUGAGCCCCGUCAUUCCUUUUUAAACUCUUCAUAUAUUUACCUAAGUCCCUAAACCUAAACCCCUACACUGUUCUAAACUGCCAGUCCACUGCAUGCAAACGUGGGACUGCAGUUACCAGAGGUAUCUACGUACCACACGGAUUGUAACUUGGAUUUCUACAGACUAAGAGUCGACCUCAGGGAACUCAAGUGAGCCCCGUCAUUCCUUUUUAAACUCUUCAUAUAUUUACCUAAGUCCCUAAACCUAAACCCCUACACUGUUCUAAACUGCCAGUCCACUGCAUGCAAACGUGGGACUGCAGUUACCAGAGGUAUCUACGUACCACACGGAUUGUAACUUGGAUUUCUACAGACUAAGGGUCGACCUCAGGGAACUCAAGUGAGCCCCGUCAUUCCUUUUUAAACUCUUCAUAUAUUUACCUAAGUCCCUAAACCUAAACCCCUACACUGUUCUAAACUGCCAGUCCACUGCAUGCAAACGUGGGACUGCAGUUACCAGAGGUAUCUACGUACCACACGGAUUGCAACUUGGAUUUCUACCGACUAAGAUUAUAUAUAUUUUUACCUAAAUCCCUAAACCUAUGGACACUUAUUCACUUUCCCUAACGUUGAAUUCAGUGUGAGUAUGUG
ensembl:lncRNA